rnacentral:lncRNA from 1 species
AAUGCGCAUGAUUACAAUUUGUUUUUGAAAUAGUUAAUAGUAAAUAAAAAUUAAAAUAUCUCUUCGAAAGUUCGAAAGAAGCCCUCGAAAUCCAUAAUACAUUGUCGUGAAAUCGUGAUUAAAUAGUAAAAAUACCAUAUAACUGAUGGCAUCGCAUUUGAGCGCAAUACACCAGCCACUUCUUAAUGAAAUAGACAUGGUAAAAGAAAAGAAGUCAACUUUGGUUCAGAAUUCAGAUUCAGUUUCAUUCAAACUGCUUGGUCAAAAUGGCGGGACCUAAACAGUGUUAUACAUGAUCACAUGAUGCAGCUAAAGCUCAAAAGAAUGACAUAAAAAAACUUAUCUUACCUGUACUGCUCUAAUGUAGUAAAUUUUGUCCAGCCUUGAUGAAUGUCAAACAUGAGAUGCUCAAGAACAAAAAAAAGAGUUUGGCUGGAAAGCACCCUACCAUGUGUGGACCACACUAAGAAAAAUAGAAGAAGAAUAGACAGUUUCAUUCAAACCUUGAAGACAAAAGCCUAACAUGAAGACUUACACCAACCACAAAAGCAGUUGAAAGAGCAUAUAUUAGACGCAUAACAAAACGCUUUAAUAGUCAUAUCCAGGAAGCGAUCAGUACCUUUUGAGGAGCAGAUUAAGUCUGCACACAGGUACAUCAAAUGCAGUGAGUGCACUACUCUUCUGGCAGCCUGGAGACCCGAGAUGUCCUUACUCCACAGACUAGGGGAUGAGACUGGCCAUGUUAGACCGUCUGUUACCUGCCACUGACUGGUCACACUCCCUCCACACUCAAUGAACUGCAUUCAACAGCUACUGGCUAACUAUUAAUCAUCAAUUUAAAUAAAACUUCUUUACUAAUAUUUAGGGUUUUCCCUAAUUAUAUUUACUUGCACUAGUGAGAUAACUUCCUUGCCUAAGAGUCUAAUAUAUGCACUUGGAGGAUAUCCAAGAAACAAUCUGA